UACGUAGGGGGCAAGCGGUUGUCCGGAUUUAUUGGGCGUAAAGAGCGUGUAGGCGGCUAGGUAGGUCCGUUGUGAAACUCGGAGGCUCAACCUCGAGACGUCGAUCAGAAACCAUCUAGCUAGAGUCCGGAAGAGGAGAGUGGAAUUCCUGGUGUAGCGGUGAAAUGCGCAGAUAUCAGGAAGAACACCCGUGGCGAAGGCGGCUCUCUGGGCCGAUACUGACGCUGAGGAGCGAAAGCGUGGGGAGCGAACAGG
rnacentral:rRNA from 1 species